rnacentral:rRNA from 1 species
AACGAACGCUGGCGGCAGGCCUAACACAUGCAAGUCGAGCGAGGACUUCGGUUCUAGCGGCGGACGGGGGAGUAACGCGUGGGAAUGUGCCCUUCUCUACGGAAUAGCCCUGGGAAACUGGGAGUAAUACCGCAUAGGCCCAAAUGGGGAAAGAUUUAUCGGAGAAGGGUCAGCCCGCGUUGGAUUAGGUAGUUGGUGGGGUAAUGGCCGACCAAGACGACGAUGCAUAGCUGGUUUGAGAGGAUGAUCCGCCACACUUGGACUGAGACACGGCCCAGACUCCUACGGGAGGCAGCAGUGGGGAAUCUUAGACAAUGGGGGCAACCCUGAUCUAGCCAUGCCGCGUAAGUGAUGAAGGCCUUAGUGUUGUAAAGCUCUUUCAGCUGGGAAGAUAAUGACGGUACCAGCAGAAGAAGCCCCGGCUAACUCCGUG